rnacentral:rRNA from 1 species
CACGUAGGGUGCGAGCGUUGUCCGGAAUUAUUGGGCGUAAAGAGCUCGUAGGCGGUGUGUCGCGUCGGCCGUGAAAACCUGCAGCUUAACUGUGGGCGUGCGGUCGAUACGGGCAUCACUGGAGUUCGGCAGGGGAGACUGGAAUUCCUGGUGUAGCGGUGAAAUGCGCAGAUAUCAGGAGGAACACCGGUGGCGAAGGCGACUACCUGGCCUGUUCUUGACGCUGAGGCGCGAAAGCUAGGGGAGCAAACGGG